rnacentral:rRNA from 1 species
ACACUGAAUGGAGGACCGAACCGACUUACGUUGAAAAGUGAGCGGAUGAACUGAGGGUAGCGGAGAAAUUCCAAUCGAACCUGGAGAUAGCUGGUUCUCUCCGAAAUAGCUUUAGGGCUAGCCUCAAGUGAUGAUUAUUGGAGGUAGAGCACUGUUUGGACGAGGGGCCCCUCUCGGGUUACCGAAUUCAGACAAACUCCGAAUGCCAAUUAAUUUAACUUGGGAGUCAGAACAUGGGUGAUAAGGUCCGUGUUCGAAAGGGAAACAGCCCAGACCACCAGCUAAGGUCCCAAAAUAUAUGUUAAGUGGAAAAGGAUGUGGCGUUGCCCAGACAACUAGGAUGUUGGCUUAGAAGCAGCCAUCAUUUAAAGAGUGCGUAAUAGCUCACUAGUCGAGUGACACUGCGCCGAAAAUGUACCGGGGCUAAACAUAUUACCGAAGCUGUGGAUUGUCCUUUGGACAAUGGUAGGAGAGCGUUCUAAGGGCGUUGAAGCAUGAUCGUAAGGACAUGUGGAGCGCUUAGAAGUGAGAAUGCCGGUGUGAGUAGCGAAAGACGGGUGAGAAUCCCGUCCACCGAUUGACUAAGGUUUCCAGAGGAAGGCUCGUCCGCUCUGGGUUAGUCGGGUCCUAAGCUGAGGCCGACAGGCGUAGGCGAUGGAUAACAGGUUGAUAUUCCUGUACCACCUAUAAUCGUUUUAAUCGAUGGGGGGACGCAGUAGGAUAGGCGAAGCGUGCGAUUGGAUUGCACGUCUAAGCAGUAAGGCUGAGUAUUAGGCAAAUCCGGUACUCGUUAAGGCUGAGCUGUGAUGGGGAGAAGACAUUGUGUCUUCGAGUCGUUGAUUUCACACUGCCGAGAAAAGCCUCUAGAUAGAAAAUAGGUGCCCGUACCGCAAACCGACACAGGUAGUCAAGAUGAGAAUUCUAAGGUGAGCGAGCGAACUCUCGUUAAGGAACUCGGCAAAAUGACCCCGUAACUUCGGGAGAAGGGGUGCUCUUUAGGGUUAACGCCCAGAAGAGCCGCAGUGAAUAGGCCCAAGCGACUGUUUAUCAAAAACACAGGUCUCUGCUAAACCGUAAGGUGAUGUAUAGGGGCUGACGCCUGCCCGGUGCUGGAAGGUUAAGAGGAGUGGUUAGCUUCUGCGAAGCUACGAAUCGAAGCCCCAGUAAACGGCGGCCGUAACUAUAACGGUCCUAAGGUAGCGAAAUUCCUUGUCGGGUAAGUUCCGACCCGCACGAAAGGCGUAACGAUUUGGGCACUGUCUCAACGAGAGACUCGGUGAAAUCAUAGUACCUGUGAAGAUGCAGGUUACCCGCGACAGGACGGAAAGACCCCGUGGAGCUUUACUGUAGCCUGAUAUUGAAAUUCGGCACAGCUUGUACAGGAUAGGUAGGAGCCUUUGAAACGUGAGCGCUAGCUUACGUGGAGGCGCUGGUGGGAUACUACCCUAGCUGUGUUGGCUUUCUAACCCGCACCACUUAUCGUGGUGGGAGACAGUGUCAGGCGGGCAGUUUGACUGGGGCGGUCGCCUCCUAAAAGGUAACGGAGGCGCUCAAAGGUUCCCUCAGAAUGGUUGGAAAUCAUUCAUAGAGUGUAAAGGCAUAAGGGAGCUUGACUGCGAGACCUACAAGUCGAGCAGGGUCGAAAGACGGACUUAGUGAUCCGGUGGUUCCGCAUGGAAGGGCCAUCGCUCAACGGAUAAAAGCUACCCCGGGGAUAACAGGCUUAUCUCCCCCAAGAGUUCACAUCGACGGGGAGGUUUGGCACCUCGAUGUCGGCUCAUCGCAUCCUGGGGCUGUAGUCGGUCCCAAGGGUUGGGCUGUUCGCCCAUUAAAGCGGUACGCGAGCUGGGUUCAGAACGUCGUGAGACAGUUCGGUCCCUAUCCGUCGUGGGCGUAGGAAAUUUGAGAGGAGCUGUCCUUAGUACGAGAGGACCGGGAUGGACAUACCUCUGGUGUACCAGUUGUCGUGCCAACGGCAUAGCUGGGUAGCUAUGUGUGGACGGGAUAAGUGCUGAAAGCAUCUAAGCAUGAAGCCCCCCUCAAGAUGAGAUUUCCCAACUUCGGUUAUAAGAUCCCUCAAAGAUGAUGAGGUUAAUAGGUUCGAGGUGGAAGCAUGGUGACAUGUGGAGCUGACGAAUACUAAUCGAUCGAAGACUUAAUCAA